GACGUAGGGCGCGAGCGUUGUCCGGAUUUAUUGGGCGUAAAGAGCUCGUAGGCGGUCUGUCGCGUCGGCUGUGAAACUCGGGGCUCAACCCCGAGCCUGCAGUCGAUACGGGCAGACUAGAGUGCUGUAGGGGAGACUGGAAUUCCUGGUGUAGCGGUGAAAUGCGCAGAUAUCAGGAGGAACACCGGUGGCGAAGGCGGGUCUCGUGGGCAGUAACUGACGCUGAGGAGCGAAAGCGUGGGGAGCGAACAGG
rnacentral:rRNA from 1 species